UUCCGGAAUUUUAAAUGUAGGUUGGUUUUAGAGGAUAAUAUCGUUAUGAACUUGUAUCCGGUGUUUACUUUUUCGGAAAAUCGAAAGAUUUGCCCCCACGCUUAUGUUCUUUCAGAAAAGAUAUCCAUGGAACAAAUCAUCUGAAAACUAAGAGAGGAUGAAGAAUACUUCUGUUAAAAAAGUUGAAGUAACUGAUGAGCAGAUCAAUCCAACUUGAACAUGAUAUCAUUUCUCCAAUGAUGAAAACAAGUCUCUCUAUACUCAAGCAUUGAUAUUUUUAAAGUCAACUGAAACUGGAACAGGUCAUACAUGCAGACUACAGUGAUGUGUUGCACAGUUCCGAAAACAUGCAGCCACCACUAGCAUCAGCAUGAUAAGUGUAAGUGGGUCAUCAAAAAAUGAGAACCACUCAGGGAC